UACGUAGGGUGCGAGCGUUAAUCGGAAUUACUGGGCGUAAAGCGUGCGCAGGCGGUUCGUUAAGACAGAUGUGAAAUCCCCGAGCUUAACCUGGGAACUGCAUUUGUGACUGGCGAGCUAGAGUAUGGCAAAGAGGAAUAGAAUUCCACGUGUAGCAGUGAAAUGCGUAGAGAUGUGGAAAAAUACCGAUGGCGAAGGCAGCCCCCUGAGCCAAUACUGACGCUCAUGCACGAAAGCGUGGGGAGCAAACAGG
rnacentral:rRNA from 1 species